rnacentral:lncRNA from 1 species
CUUUGACUCUACAAGAGUCAUGCAGGUUUUCUAUCAGUCAUGAAGUUCAUGUGACAACUCAUAUAGCAAAAGAGAACUUAUUUGAAAAUUCUUAAAAAGAAGACAUCCGUUCGACGGAUAUUAUUGCAGCACUCAGAAAUGAGCUGACCAUCCAAAAUUCAUGACAACGCUUGAAGACAGAGGUUUGAAGCAAUGUCUCCAUCUCUGAACAUGAGCAGAAGAAGAAAAUUGAAGCAGUUUUCCAAUCUAGUUACUGGAUCACUGGUGAGGGAAAAGCUGGUAAAACAGAUGAAAGCGUCGUGUGGACUGGACUUGAUCUGUGGACUACCUGUAGAACCCGCAGAACUCAUCAGCAUCCCCUCUACUGCUUAUAUUCUACUUCAUGUAAAGGUUGUUGCUAGUUCUGGAAGAAAAAAACAAGCUUGCAAACAGAAAACCAAUUUGCUUAAAGCUUACCUUACACUGAAAGUUGUGGGCACACGGAGCAGAGCUGAUUGGCUAGCUUCAGCAGUGGAGUACCUCAAAAAGAAGUUGAUAUUAACUUCAACACCUGAAAAUCUUUCUCUGAAUAUUAUAUUUGAAUUCAUCUUAACACAGAGCGGGCAGAACAAUAAUAAAUAUCAAGUUUGUGCUGUUUGAAGCAGAUGCCCUGGCAGAAGCAAAUAAGGAACCAUCAACGGCAUGCCGCUCCAAAGGGAAGGGGUGCUGUGAACUAAGCCUGGCAACAAGGCAGGCAGAGGAGUGGCCUUACCAGCAAAGAUGAUGGUACCUGAGCAAAACAAGAAGAGCAGGUCCAAGGGACAGUAAUUAGGAUCAGCCAAAAGACCAGGUUGCUGCAGAAGUUCGUGGGGAUGAGGCAGGUCUGAAGUUGAGUCAAUCCUAAGGGUUGGGUCAGGUUUGGGAUCAACAGGGUGCAUGGCUUGGAUGCAGUGCACCUCGGAUAGCUCCCCUUCUCUUUUUGGCCUGUACAAGGGAAGACUAGCCUCCCAUCUUUAAUAGUUAAACUCACCUGCAGUCCUCGAACAAAACUUAGUACAGAGAUUUGCUCCAUCCCUGGACCACUGGACCGUCUGGGCAUUAGUUCUGCUCCUGAAUUUAAUAUGCUACAAGAGCAAGCCUGGUGAACCUAUUUUAAGGGAUUAUCAGUGAAUAUAUUUCCAUAUAAAUUUUUAAAAGUGUUUUUUUUUUAAGGAUGAUGUAGCCUUCUACAUCUUUAUUAUUGGAAUGUAACAUUUCCAUUGUGAUAUUUUUCUUUUCUGGGUUCAGACCUCUUCAAAAUAAUGAGAAAUCAGAUGGUUCGGGUAACUAAUGCUUGCUUACGUGCUGAGAUAGAUGUUGCUGAAUGUGCUGAAGACAAUAAAAUAAUUAUUUUACUUCUUGUAAGCA